rnacentral:rRNA from 1 species
AUUCGCGGCCUAUCAGCUUGUUGGUGGGGUGAUGGCCUACCAAGGCGGUGACGGGUAGCCGGCCUGAGAGGGUGUCCGGCCACACUGGGACUGAGACACGGCCCAGACUCCUACGGGAGGCAGCAGUGGGGAAUAUUGCACAACGGGCGGAAGCCUGAUGCAGCGACGCCGCGUGAGGGAUGACGGCCUUCGGGUUGUAAACCUCUUUCAGUACAGAACAAGGCUCUUUCUUUUGGGGGGGUUGAGGGUAUGUGCAGAAGAAGCGCCGGCUAACUACGUGCCAGCAGCCGCGGUAAUACGUAGGGCGCGAGCGUUGUCCGGAAUUAUUGGGCGUAAAGAGCUCGUAGGCGGUUUGUCGCGUCUGCCGUGAAAUCCUCUGGCUUAACUGGGGGCGUGCGGUGGGUACGGGCAGACUGGAGUGCGGUAGGGGAGACUGGAAUUCCUGGUGUAGCGGUGGAAUGCGCAGAUAUCAGGAGGAACACCGGUGGCGAAGGCGGGUCUCUGGGCCGUUACUGACGCUGAGGAGCGAAAGCAUGGGGAGCGAACAGGAUUAGAUACCCUGGUAGUCCAUGCCGUAAACGUUGGGAACUAGGUGUGGGGUCCAUUCCACGGAUUCUGCGCCGGAGCUAACGCAUUAAGUUCCCCGCCUGGGGAGUACGGAAU